rnacentral:rRNA from 2 species
AUCUGGAGAGGAUGCUUCUGGCGCGGCGCCUUCCGAGUUCCCUGGAACGGGACGCCGGAGAGGGUGAGAGCCCCGUACGGUUGGACGCCUAGCCUUUGUGAAGCUCCUUCGACGAGUCGAGUAGUUUGGGAAUGCUGCUCAAAAUGGGAGGUAAAUUUCUUCUAAAGCUAAAUACCGGCCAGAGACCGAUAGCGCACAAGUAGAGUGAUCGAAAGAUGAAAAGCACUUUGAAAAGAGGGUCAAACAGUACGUGAAAUUGUUGAAAGGGAAGCGCCCGUGGCCAGACUUGUGCCCCGCGGACCACCCGGCGCCCUCAGCGCCGGUGCACUCCGCGGGGCGCAGGCCAGCAUCGGUUUUCCCAGGGGGAUAAAGGCGGCGGGAACGUGGCUCCCUCGGGAGUGUUAUAGCCCGCCGCGCCAUGCCCCUGGGGGGACCGAGGACCGCGCUUCGGCAAGGAUGCUGGCGUAAUGGCCACCGGCGACCCGUCUUGAAACACGGACCAAGGAGUCAAGCAUUGGGGCGAGUGUCUGGGUGCCAAACCCGCACGCGAAAUGAAAGUGAACGCAGGUGAGAGCUUCGGCGCAUCAUCGACCGAUCCUGAUGUUCUCGGAUGGAUUUGAGUAAGAGCCUUACCGCUUGGACCCGAAAGAUGGUGAACUAUGCCUGUAUAGGGUGAAGCCAGAGGAAACUCUGGUGGAGG